rnacentral:rRNA from 1 species
GAAGACGAAUGACGGUACACCAAGAAUAAGAGACGGCUAACUACGUGCCAGCAGCCGCGGUAAUACGUAGGUCUCAAGCGUUAUCCGGAUUUACUGGGCGUAGAGUAUCCGUAGCCUGAUAUGUAAGUCUGUUUUCAAAUCCCACGACUCAAUCGUGGAAAGGGAAUGGAUACUGCAUAUCUAGAAGUUAUUGGGGGUUAGUGGAAUUUCCGGUGGAGCGGUGAAAUGCGUUGAUAUCGGAAAGAACGCCGAAAGCGAAAGCAGCUAACUAUGAUUAACUUGACGGUGAGGGAUGAAAGUUUGGGUAGCAAACGGGAUUAGAUACCCCGGUAGUCCAAACUGUAAAUUAUGCUUGCUAGGUGUUUCGAUCCUUGUGGUCGGAGUGCCGUAAUCUAACGAGUUAAGCAAGUCGCCUGGGUAGUAUAUUCGCAAGAAUGAAACUCAAAGGGAUAGGCGGGGGAACACACAAGCAGUGGAUUAUCUAGAUUAAUUGGAUAAUAAGCCAGGAAUCUUACCUAGAAUUGACAUGCAUUGUGUCUCAUAUAAAAGUAUGAUAUUUGUAGCAAUACAGAGCUUUGCACAGGUGGUGCAUGGUCGUCGUCAGCUCGUGCCGCAAGGUGUCCAGUUAA